AGUGAACGCUGGCGGUAGGCCUAACACAUGCCAGUCGAACGGCAGCACAGUAAGAGCUUGCUCUUACGGGUGGCGAGUGGCGGACGGGUGAGGAAUACAUCGGAAUCUACUUUUUCGUGGGGGAUAACGUAGGGAAACUUACGCUAAUACCGCAUACGACCUACGGGUGAAAGCAGGGGAUCUUCGGACCUUGCGCGAUUGAAUGAGCCGAUGUCGGAUUAGCUAGUUGGCGGGGUAAAGGCCCACCAAGGCGACGAUCCGUAGCUGGUCUGAGAGGAUGAUCAGCCACACUGGAACUGAGACACGGUCCAGACUCCUACGGGAGGCAGCAGUGGGGAAUAUUGGACAAUGGGCGCAAGCCUGAUCCAACCAUACCGCGUGGGUGAAGAAGGCCUUCGGGUUGUAAAGCCCUUUUGUUGGGAAAGAAAAGCAGCAGGUUAAUACCCCGCUGUUCCGACGGUACCCAAAGAAUAAGCACCGGCUAACUUCGUG
rnacentral:rRNA from 1 species